rnacentral:lncRNA from 1 species
AUAGGGAAUAGGGCUCUGGGUCAAAAGUAGUAGGCACUAUAUAGGGAAUAGGGGCUCUGGUCUAAAGUAGUACAAAUAAGGAAACGGGCUCUGCUAAAAGUAAAGUACACUAAGGAAUAGGGCUCUGGCUAAAGAGUAACACUAAGGAAUAGGGCUCUGGUCUAAAGUAGUGUACUACAUAGGGAAGAGGCUCUGGUCUAAAGUAUGCACUACAUAGGGAAUAGGGUGCCAUAGGGCUCUGGUCAAAGUAGUGCACUACAUAGGGAAUGGGCCCUGGUCUAUAGUAGUGCACUAUAAGGAAUAGGGUGCCAUUUGGGAUGCAGGUGACGUCUCUGGUGGUUUGUUUGGCCGCAAACUAAACACAUUUUCCUUUAAGGAAACUUCAUUUUAGGCAAAUGCACCCUUUUUUUAAAAAGGUUAAAACAAAUUAAGAUAAGACUUUUUCAGUUUUGUUUUGUUAGAAGAUGGUAAUACAUGUCUAGCAAGUUGCUUUGAAAAUACAUUUCUUUGGGCAUCUAGAAUAGUUUUUUCCUUCCAUCUAAACUAUUUUAGUCCUCCAAAGCAUUUCUCCGUUGUUAAUUAAGCAAUGUAUCUGGACAAUAACACAUUACAAGACCCUGCCAAGUAGACUGAUAAAAGGCUUCCUAACCAACUAGGUGGAAAUGCCAUUAUCAUAUGUUUUCCAUAUUAAUAAGAGUAAAAGAAAACAAAUGUUUCAUAAAUAAGAAUGAGUUUGGAACUCUCGGUGUCAGCAGACGACAACACAACUUUUUAAUAGUAGUGGAGGAGAGUGACUUGGCUUUUUUAAAUAGUUGUGGAGGAGGUGACUUGGCUUUUUUAAAUAGUUAG